UCUGCCUGUUGUAGGGCCUUGGGGCUGGGACUCCAGGAGAAGACAGCUCCCACGAGGAACCCCCCUGGGGCCACCACUGUACAGGGACUGCUCCGUAACAACAGAAGCCCCUCGGAGAUUAGAACUUGGCAGUUUCCCCAGCCCAUUUAGAAGAUGAAGCCCAGGCAGGGGAAAGGAGAAACUCCAGAAGCAGAGCUGCUGGUUAAUACGAAGAAUGCAAAAAUGUGCCAUGAGAGGGAAAAAACACUUCACAUGCAAAAGAGGAGCCUCCUCAAGGAUCCGUGCCAGGGUUUCCUCCAACUACAUACAGCAAAUAUGAUUUUCCUUCUGUAUCUGAAAAAUUGGCAGCAAGAAUACUAAAAAAAAUUGUGACCAGGGCCAAAAGGAGACAGAGUCUCAUUGUACCGCCCUUGGGUAGAGGGCCGUGGCGUCACACAGCUCACAGCAACCUCUAACUCUUUGGCUUACGCGACUCUCUUGCCUCAGCCUCCCGAGCAGCUGGGACUACAGGCGCUCACCACAACGCCCGGCUAUUUUUUUUGUUGUUGUUGCAGUUUGGCCGGGGCUGGGUUUGAACCCGCCACCCUUGGCAUAUGGGGCCGGCACCCUACUCACUGAGCCACAGGCGCCAACCUAUUUCUAUCAUUGUUGCAUUGUAAUAUAUAAUGAAAUAAUUACACAACUUAGCAUAACGCAGGAUCAGGAGAAGCCUUGAGCUAGCUCCCUCCCAUGUGUCCUUUACAGCAGGGUACGAGCGCCUGAGAGAAUCUAAAGCCGCUGAUGUGACAGGAUGCAGAGCUCAGUGGUGAUGUGGGUGAUGGGGAGCCCCAACAGUACAGAUGAAGCUCCGGUUCCUCACCCACCGCUCACCUCCUGCUGUGCACUAGCCCAGUACCGGUCCCUGAGCCCAGGGGUUGGGGAUCGCAGCCCCAGUACACAAAACUCUUUCCCACACAGGGGUCACUGCACAUGAGGUUCACUCUGCCUGGAACGUUCACCCCUUCUGCACAGCUGGCGCCGUCUUACUUUCAGUCUAACUUAAACUCCAUCUCUUUUGGAGAGAGACGUUUCCCAAGUCAUCCUAGCUCAGUCUUGGCACUCCAUUAAGUCAACAGCAAUUCUACUACAUAUAAUUUUAUUUAUGCCCCUCAAGACAGAAAGUGUGGGGGGACUGGAACUUUGUCUGUCUUGCUCAUCCCAAAUCUAUCCAGCACCAUGUCCAGAACAUAGCAGAUGCUCGACACACGGUUGUUGAACGAACGGAUGAAGAAAUCAGGGAAAACUCAGCAGGUGCUCGCUGAGGGCGGAUGAGGGUCCUUCUCUGGGUAACUCUACUGAAUGAGCAUAUAAACUGCAGAGGAAACAAAUUUCUGUGAGUCGGUUAGCUCUGGACGACAACUUUCAAGGCUAGUUUUGAGAACUGCUUUAAGCCCAUAAACAUUUGUGCAUAACAGUGUUGCUUCCUAACAUUUUCAUGUCAGAACUAUACAAACAGCCCACUGGUAAGAUGAAAGCAGGGACACUGAAGCACGGGGGUCCUCAGCAGUGAGGGAGGCUGAAUUCCACCAAGAAGUACACGCAGAGGAGGCUGCUGGGUAUUAUUCCAAGUGUCAAGAUAAGCUCACGAACACAGAGAAACCUACUGGGUGUGAAGCCAAAGAUGUCUCCAGCUUACUGCUUUGAUACGGUAUUUUAAUGAAUGGAAAAUCAGACCUCACUGCUUUCUUCUCUUAAGUGACCUUUUACUAGUGAUAAAUGACGAAUAUGGCUGAAAGACGAAUACAGCUGAAAUAAAGUAUCCCAGCCACACACACGCACUUUACAAGUACUUUAACUAAACUUAGGUUCCCUUCUCAGCUACAGAAGACGACUUUGAAGAAACAUCAUCAGUUAAAAAAAAAAAAAAAAACCUCCAGAUGAUGAUCCAAACACUACACAGAUGAAAUAACUUGAAUGCAGUGACAAAUACUCAACAAGUUCAAAACACUAGAGCAGUGACCAUAUAGAGUUCUGUAAAUCUGUGAACACAUUUAUAUGCACGUGUGCAAGUAGCUCACUGUGCAUGAAGUCUGCACGUGUGGGGGGUUCUGUUUGUUUGCUUUUUGCUCCUAGGCUCCCCGUGAAACAACAAGCCAUUCAAUUAGGGCCUGCCACGGAGCCCAGAGCAGAGACGUAUUGCUUUUGGCCUCAUGACUGUCCUUUUCCGCUUGUGCAAAAACCCUGUGUUGACUGUACUAUGAAAAAAAUUAAAGGAAAGAAAAGCUCUGCCGUUGUAACUUUGCCAAAAAAGUAUAAAGAAACAAACCCAGAUGCUAGAAUUUGAGGCAUUUCCUCUGCUAUGUGACUAUGUCCUUUAACUGAAGGUCAAAAGAACAUGAAAGGGCUUAAAUAUUUUAAAGCUAUAAGUGGAUAUUUUUGUGACCCUCUCAGUCUAUGCAUGCCAGUGGCAUACAUUUAACUGACAUUGAAUAAGCAGAAUUUAUUCAGUAGCAUUCAAGGAAAAUCCUAGUAUUGCUUUCAAACAUGAUUUAUUUAUAGUUCCAGUGCUUUAUAUUAAUACAGAUUGGUUCAUUUUCCUGACAGCCCAAGUCCCUCCCAAAAUGCCAGUAAGUGAAUAAAGUCAUUCUUAAGCCCAUUUCACAUUUACCACCUCCUAAUCCUUCAACGUGUUUAUGAGUUAUGCUUUUAUAAUCUUUG